UGCAAAAUGUUUCAUUGUUUUUGUAGAACACUUUCUGACAUUAGUGUAGCCUUGGCUUGGCACCUGUUCCAUGAGGAAUAUUUUGUGAGCGGGAGCUUUGAUGGAUCCAUCUUUCAUUAGCUUGUUGGUCACAAAGGAAGACUAGGGAGCCCAAGAAGGAGAAUGUGACACUUGGACCAACUGUAAGAGAGGGAGAGAAUGUUUUCGGUGUCACCCACAUCUUUGCAUCUUUUAAUGAUACUUUUAUCGGAAGUCCCAUGUCUUUUCUUUCAGUUCCUUUUUGCUUCUCUUGACAUUCUCAGAGGCCCCAAUCUUUUUUUUUUUCCCUGGAUUGCAGCAUGUGAUAGAUUUAUCUAGGAGA